rnacentral:rRNA from 1 species
AUCUACGGCCAUGCCACCCUGAACAAGCCUGAUGUCUGAUCUCAGAAGCUAAGCAGGGUCGGACCUGGUUAGUACUUGGAUGGGAGACCAUCUAGGAAGACCAGGUGCUGUAGGCA